UACGUAGGGGGCAAGCGUUGUCCGGAAUCAUUGGGCGUAAAGCGCGUGUAGGCGGCUGGGUAAGUCCGCUCUGAAAGCCCGGGGCUCAACCCCGGGAGGCGGGUGGAUACUGCUCAGCUCGAGUCCGGAAGAGGAGUGUGGAAUUCCUGGUGUAGCGGUGAAAUGCGCAGAUAUUAGGAAGAACACCCGUGGCGAAGGCGGCUCUCUGGGACGGUACUGACGCUGAGACGCGAAAGCGUGGGGAGCGAACAGG
rnacentral:rRNA from 1 species